rnacentral:lncRNA from 1 species
AUGAGUCCAUGGCCAACGUCUCAACCUCCUGGAACUCCCCCAACUGUCAUGGAACCUCCCCCCUGCCCCCAACUGCAGGCCACACUGCAGCCUGGAGGCCUGCCUGUGGACAGCAGGAGAGACCAAGAAACACAGAAGAAGGGACAGAGAGAUGCAAAGGCCAAGGGACAGGGCCUGAACCCCGGAGAGAGACCAACGGACUUCCAGAGGCCCCAAUCUGGCCACGAGAGCACCCAGCCAGAUUUCCAUCCAGAAUCUCCAAAUAACAACCAAGAUGAGACCCAAAACCCUUCGCCACUUACCUACAGGCCCCAGGUCAGUACUCAGGACUCUCCACCGAUUGUCCACAGUCGCCGGGUCAGUAUCCAAGAACCCCUGCCCAUUAGCCACAGUCGCCGGGUCAGUAUCCAAGAACCCCUGCCCAUUAGCCACAGUCGCCGGGUCAGUAUCCAAGACCCUCCACCAGUGAGCAGUCGCCGAGUCAGCAUCCAAGACACACCAUCCAUUUUCAGCAGUCGCCGAGUCAGUACCCAAGACACACCAUCCAUUUUCAACAGUCGCCGAGUCAGUACCCAAGACACACCGCCACUUACCUACAGUCGCUGGGUCAAUAGCCAAGAGCUUCUACCAGUUCUCCAAACUCGCCGCCCCAGCGUCCAAAGCCCUCCAUUGAUUACGCACACCACCCUGAGGAGUAUAGAAUCAAGUGACGACAGUAGUGAAGUCAGUCUCCCGGACCACCGGCCAAAAACUGGCAUCUGGCCGGUAAUCCGGGCCAAAGUCGACAUCCCCCCUUCAAUUACUGACAGCCCCGAGGCCAGUAUCAAAAGCAUGGAAUCGAUUACCUGGGCCUCCCAGGAGAGUCUCAAAGGCUCUACGGACAGCUCCCAAUUCAACCAAACUACUCUAGAGAAAAGCACCCUCAGCUCACCAUCAGGCCACGACUUUGAGGUCAAUUCUGGCAGGUUUCAGAACAAGUAUAAACGCAGCCGUUCACCGCUGCCCGUAGGCUGGCGGCUGCUGCAUGAGGCCAAGAAGAUCAGCCGCCUGCUGAGUCUGGCACUGAGCCUGGCUGGCAUGGUGAUCAUCGGUCUCAUCUCUCUGGGCCAGCCCUGGAUCCACUUCCAGACUUUCUGGACUUCUCCUGGGCCUUCCUCAUCAUCGCCAGCAUCACCAACGUCUGCCUCUGCAUCAUCCUCAUAA